GACGAACGCUGGCGGCGUGCCUAAUACAUGCAAGUCGAACGCUGAAGGAUGAGCUUGCUUCUCUGGAUGAGUUUCGAACGGGUGAGUAACGCGUUGGUAACCUGCCUGGUAGCGGGGGAUAACUCUUGGAAACGAUAGCUAAUACCGCAUAAUAGUAGAUGUUGCAUGACAUUUGCUUACAAGUUGCAAUUUCAUCACUACCAGAUUGACCUGCGUUGUCUUAGCUAGUUGGUGGGGUAACGGCUCACCAAGGCGACGAUACAUAGCCGACCUGAGAGGGUGAUCAGCCACACUGGGAAUGGGACACGGCCCAGAACUCUAAGGGAGACAGCAGUAGGGAAUCUACGGCAAUGGACGGAAGGCAGACCGAGGAAAGCCGCGUGAGUGAAGAAGGGUUUCGGAUCGUAAAGCUCUGUUGUAAGAGAAGAACGAGUGUGAGAGUGGAAAGUUCACACUGUGACGGUAUCUGACCAGAAAGGGACGGCUAACUACGUG
rnacentral:rRNA from 1 species